rnacentral:ncRNA from 20 species
CUCUUAUCUAGAGCGGUGGAGGGACUGGCCCUUUGAAACCGCGGCAACCUUCAUAAUUAAAUGAAAGGUGCCAAUUCCUGCAGAAAAUGAAAGAUGAGAG